GAUGAACGCUGGCGGCGUGCCUAAUACAUGCAAGUCGAGCGAACAGACGAGGAGCUUGCUCCUCUGACGUUAGCGGCGGACGGGUGAGUAACACGUGGAUAACCUACCUAUAAGCCUGGGAUAACUUCGGGAAACCGGAACUAAUACCGGAUAAUAUAUUGAACCGCAUGGUUCAAUAGUGAAAGACGGUUUUGCUGUCACUUAUAGAUGGAUCCGCGCCGCCGUAGCUAGUUGGUAAGGUAACGGCUUACCAAGGCAACGAUGCGUAGCCGACCUGAGAGGGUGAUCGGCCACACUGGAACGGAGACACGGUCCAGACUCCUACGGGAGGCAGCAGUAGGGAAUCUUCCGCAAUGGGCGAAAGCCUGACGGAGCAACGCCGCGUGAGUGAGGAAGGUCUUCGGAUCGUAAAACUCUGUUAUUAGGGAAUAACAAAUGUGUAAGUAACUAUGCACGUCUUGACGGUACCUAAUCAGAAAGCCACGGCUAACUACGUG
rnacentral:rRNA from 1 species